CAUAAAGUUAACCAUUACACCUAGCCAUCAGAAAGUGUGGCUCAAAAAAUGUUCUAGAACCAGACCAAUCAGAUUAACAUUCCUUCCUUUUGUGCGGAGAAACAGGGAAAGGGAACAGGCAACAUGUGCGUGGGGGUCCUCUUCCCUACAUGAAUGUACAACUCCCCUUUCUAGAUUUGAGGGCAAGAUAAGUAGCAUUUUCGUUUUGUUAUUUCCGAUAGAAACUAGUCCAUCGUCGGCACAGAAGUGGGCUUCAGUGAGCAUUUACUGAAUGAAUGAAGAGAAUCACUGUCCACAACAUAAAAGCAUCAAUCAACAAUGACUGACUGACUAAGUACCGGAUAUGUGCCUGGAUGCUGGGAUAUGCAGUGGGUGAUAUUAAAGAGAUGGAGAUGGCACGUCUUCCGGGGCACCUCGGUGGGGGAGUUAUAUCUUGAUGCUCGGAUUAGCACAUGAUUCUGAUGCUACUGAACACGGAGAAAGUAGGAAACUGAGGAAAAAUUAGAGUCCUGGUCAGCCUGAACUCCCAAGGCUGUUUUCAUCACCAGCAAAGGACCGUGUUUCCCAAUAAGGAAACUGAGGAUCAGAGAGGCUGACUAAUUUGCCCGAUAUCACACAGCUGGUAACAGACAGAGAUGCAUGUUAUCAGUGUGAAAACGGCCUUGACGUUGAUGAUAAUGAGAGGCCUCCUGGGCCCAUGAGCCAGGAGACCUGGGCUGCAGGCUGAGGAUGAAGCACCUUCAGGCAGAGACAGUUUUAAAGUUACCAAACAUUGCUGAGAUGCAAAUACACUGAGGCUACAGAAGAAGGAGUGGAGGAGGAUGGUUGACAUUCUCAGGAACCAUCUUGCUGGGCUCUCCCGCUCCUAUGCUGGCUUUGAAGAAGCCCCAUGGAGCCCCAUGUGGGAAGAAACCAUGGAAUGCCUCAAGGACUUAAGGGCAGUUUACAGCCUUCAUCCAGCAAGAAAAUGAGGCAGAUGCAAGGAGCUGAAUUCUGCCAACAACUACAUGAGCUUGGAAGUGGAUCCUUCCAUAGUCAAGUCUUGAAUGAUGCUGCAUCUCUGACUGACAUCUUGAUUGCAGUCUUGUAAGACCCUGAGGCAGAGAACCCACUUACACCAUGCGUAGACCCCUAACUCAUAGAAACUGUGAGAAAACACAUGUGUAUAGUUUAACCUUCUAAGUUUGUGGAAAUAUUGUUAGACAGUAAUAGAAAACUAAUGUAAUCUAUUUGCUAUAGUGGAAUGACUGUCAGUCAUUGGUGUCAGAGGAUAUCUUUAAGGAAGCCCAUGAAAAAGUCAAAUGGGCAGGUGGCGGUAUAAAUACCUCAAGUUAAAAUGAUGCCAAGUAUGUAACUCAACCCAGGACCUAUUCCCCAUAUAGGCUGUAGGAGCGUUGGGGCAUUUACUGGGGCUUCAUACUCUUGCAGUAACUCAUCCAUACUUUGGAGAUACAGAAUUCUAUACUCCCCAAAAGACCAGAAAAUUGACGCUCUGCAGUAUGUUCUCAUCACGCUGUGAAAGGACAUUGGGAAAACUCCAUUUCCCACAUACUUCUUAUUAGACCAAAAAGAUACCUUUAAAAAUUAACUAAAAUGCAAAUGCAGAAACAGCAGGUACAUCUUUCUCAUUCCUUAAAGCAAAGAACAGACUUCUUCAAAACAGAGGUUCAAAGGUCACUAUUUUUCUUCUUUGUUAGCAACAUAACAUGGUGUGGGCUGAAGAAACUAGAGAAGAAAAAACUGCUUACAGCAAAUUUUCUUCACCCUAUUUUGUUUUGUGCUUCUGGAGCAGGACUCCUCCAGGUUAAUGGUGCUGCCAGAUCCAAAAGGUCCUUUGGAGCAAUUCAAUACAGCUGGAAACUGCUCUGACAGCCGCCCGUGACAAUGAGAGAGGAAGAGGCCCACGGAGACUGUAAUCUCACAUUCCCCUGUGGCUGAACAGAUAGUCGAGCUUUUCUCCUAACCUCAGGGUAGAUAUGUUACAAAGCUUGACUCCAUUCGACUUCCAGAUGGGAACCAGGACCUUUGAUUUGUAAAGAGGCAUCUACUCUGCUUGGAGAAGAUCAAACUGUAUGUAAUAUGAGGGAGGAUUGUGUGAACUGACCAGAUUACCCUGCAUCAGAGGUAAUGCUGGAAGUUGGAAUGAGGACUCCUAGCUCUGAAAGCCACGUAACCAUUUAGAGCGUUGUUUGGAAAUCAAAGUACAAACCAGCUCUAGGAUGGCUGAUAGGUCUCAGGGUUUGAAUCUAGUCUGAACUGAUUGGGAAGGACUUCCUGAAAGUGGACUAGAGAAGGAGCUCGAAGGUGAAUCCACUGGGACGGAAGAGUGAUGUGGGCCAUGUGUGCUUGGAAGUCAAAGAGCAGUGAGCCGGAGGCCCGGAGGGCUGGCACUUCGAGAUCGCACAGGAUAGCUCGCUAAAGGAGCCCUACAGGAAGCUAUAGACUACCUCCCGAAUAAUUCUAACCUCUGUUGAAAAAAAAUCUUUCUUUUGUUCAAUGAACACAGUCAAGGCAAACAAAUCAACACCUUUUAAAGCAGAAUAAGGCAAGGUGUUACUUGUUUUUGUGUUUGUUUAUUUGUUUUGUUUUCAGCUAUCAUCCAGCAGUCCCUGGACUUGGGGAGUUUUUAUGAAGCAUUUAAUCCUAAGCAAUGCAAUUUGGGCUAACAUCCUGCAGUUUAAGUAGCUGUUGAAGUAAGAUGCCAUUUUAAAGCAAACCAAUAUAGAAAAUAAUACACUGUUCUUUGCUGAUCAGAAGGGCUCCACAGUCAUUUAGAGAUUCGACUGAAAGUUAUUUUUCCAACACUGGCACUGGGCUGGCCACAAAUUUACCAGAUUUUCUAUCUCCCAUAUGGCUCAUAGGCAUUUUGCCUUCUGUGGUAAACUCUCAGAAUGAAGCUGUUAUCCGCAAAGGCAUCUAGUUAGGGUCCUCACUAUUAUCAUGCUUUAAUUACCCAAGACUUUGCAGAAUAACCCACUGAGCUCAACUGCAGAAGCUUCGAACCUACAAAUUUCCACAACUGUCUAUUGCUAAUUGCCCUGCAAGUGUCCAGCAGAGCAGCUGGGAGGGAACAGCAAAUUUUUUUCCCUUUUUUUAAUAUUGUUUUUCAAUGAAAAGUUUUUGGAUCUAAAAAGAAAGAUUCCUAUUAGCUUGUUUCUUCCCUAGUUCUGUUUCUAAAGGACUCCCAACUAUGAAGGCCUGGCUGUUCUGGGAAUCUAAACUACUGUACUACAGCCCAGGCCUCCAGGGAAUGUUUCCAUGGUUCACUGGAGCAAAUGAAGGAAAGAGGCCAGCAAUUACGAACAGAUUGUGAAUCAUUUUCUACAGCAUAAUUAGGCUUCUGGAAUCCCUAGAGGGCCCGUCCACGGAAGCAGUCCAAAGUCCUGGAGAAACAACUCAAUGUUUAUGGUUCAUCCAUUCAAUAGAAUAUGAUGCAGCCAUUCAAACUAGGGGGCAGAGGCAUGUCCAACUUCAGGGAAAGCUGUCCACAAAGAUUCAUAGGUUUAAAUAAAAAAGUCUGAGAGAAUAUAUACCCAAGUAGCAGCCAUGGCAAUUUCCAGAUUGAGGUGUAAUGUCUUCCUUCUUUCCUUCCCUCCCUACCUCCUUCCUUCUUUCCUUUCUUCCUUUUUCUUUUUUUUUUUUUUUUUUUUUGAAUUUUAUCAAUAUUCUAUAGUAAGCAUUUAUGACUUCUGAAAUUUUCAGAAAUGUUCCCUGGGUUCUCUGGGUACCAUUGAGUGGAUAUUCAGACCUCAAAGCCUCUUCCUGCUCUGGCUUUGCCCCACAGCCCUGCAGGACCCCUCUGAUUUGUACUGUGGCUCUGCAGUAGAUAAGAACAUUUUGAAAAUCAGACCUGGUAGCUACUGUCCAAGUGACCUUGGCAAAUUUGGUUACUCAGUGACCCUCCGAUUUCUUGUCUAUGAAAUAAGGAACUUAAUACUACCUACACUCAAGCACUGCGGUCACAUGAGGGAAUUGUGUAUUAUCAAAUGAGGCCAAACGAGAUAGUACAUGGAAAAGCAUUUAUGAACUGUAAACAGUGUGCAAUUUUUAGCUCUUAUCAUGAUUUCCUUGCUGUCCACACAGGGGCAGGAGAGGUCAAGAGGGCCCAAGCCCAGGGUGGCAGGACUGCCUCUUACAAGAGGCUCAGUGUGGUAUUGUCAUCAUUCCUUUCCGACAGAAAUGCUGUUAUCCAAAUCAGUUUCCCUAGUUGUCUCAAUAAUGCAUUUCUAUUUUCUCCCAAUUCAGUAUUUAUUCAAAAAGGCUUUUAGAAACACUAGCUGUGAAACGCGAGGAAAGUGGUAUACAAGUAGAACAGCUUAUGAAAGGUCCCGAGAUGUUACCAAAUGUGCACAGUGGCUGCGGUGUUUGAGAAUUACAGUGCCAGGGCCACAGCGUUCAAAAGCCUAUUCUCUAAAGAUGCCCUGGACUUCUCUGUGUGCCUGGUCCUCUGCCUGUGGUUAGACUGAAAACAACCAUAUUAAUAAAAGUUGCAACUCAAAAUUGCCCUUUUGACAGUAAAUUGUUGGCCCCAUGAAGAAUAUUAGCCUAAAUGAAUAAGCUUCACUGCAAAAGAGAAAAAUGCAGGUGCAUCUUGCUUGUUAUUCAACUGUCUACUCUCGGCUUCCUCACAAUGCAGGCAUAGAUAAAUUCUUUUACACUUAGAAGCUAUUUGAUUGAAAUUCUAAAAAUAUGUGCAAUGAUAGAUAAGAAAUAUAGUGUAUCAACGACUCCAGCACACAGGCAUACGUUAAAGCCCUGUGCAUUUUAUUUUUCAAAGAAAAAUCGCAGAUUGUGCAAUGAAAACUCACAAAUCCUUCACUUUGAUUUACCAAAUAUUAACAUUUUGCCUCAUUUGCUUUAUUUUUCUCCCUCUAUAUUCACAUUGUUGCUGUUGUUGUUGAACCUUUAGAGAGGAAGUCGUGAAUCUUAGUUCUUAUGGGUCUUCCUCUAUUAAUUUCAAUGCCUGAAAUUUGUUUCCCAAACAUAAAAAUAUUUUGGAGUUUUCCGCUGCAUCCAAAACUCCUCCUCCAUUUAACUUUUCAAGAGGAUAAUAUGCCUCUUUGCAGCUGAGCUUUUGGGUUCCAAGACCAGCCCUGCCCCUUCACAGCAACAUGCCCUUUAAAAAGUCGCUUAAUAUUCCUCCAGCUCAGUUUUCAUACCUGUUGUGGGAGGUGAUUACGUAUAUGUCCUUGUAUUGCAGUGAAGAUUAAAUUAAAUAGCAUGGAAAGCACUUUGUAAACUGUAACUUUUCUGUGUAUCUCCAAAGUGUUGUUAUUCACAGUCCCAAUGAAACAGAAUUGACUCAGGUUCUCCUAAUUAUGAAUUGGCCUGAAAACCACUUUUCAGGUAUUUGGCAGUGCCUGCAGCAGUGUGGGUGUUUGCAGGCACUCACAAAGCCAUUAGGAAAGGCACGGAGCUUCCCUGGGGGUUACGUCCCUGCCUAGGGUUACUGCCGACCCUCGGGCAGUGGUUCUCUAGUAUUAGCAUCACAAUUACUGCAGGGCUGUUACCACCCAGACCGCUGGGCCCCCACCAUUAAAUUUGGUGAAGUGGUGAUCAGGUUUAUUUAUUUGUUAAUGGAGGAACUGAGGCCUGAACCCAGGACCUUGUGCAUGCUAAGCAUGCUCUCUACCGCUGAGCUAAACCCUCCCCCCUGGAUUUUGAUUCAGUAGGUCUGGGAUGCGCCUGAGACGCUGCAUUUCAGACACUUCCCUGGUGAUGCCGACGCUGCUGUUCCAGGACCACACUGUGAGAACCCACUGUUCUAAACUGUGGUAAGCCUGGGUAGGUUAUUCUCACAGGUACUCCUAUGUGGGAAAGGCUAAGGUCUGUAGAAAAGCUUUACACUCUGAAGUGGUGCCUCGCAAACCUUAAUAGGCAUACAAAUCACCUAAGGAUGCUUGGUAUCUGUGGCUUUUGCUUCAUUAGGUUUAAGGUGGGCACGUGAGUCUGUUUCUAAAAGCACUCAGGUGAUGCUUAUGUGGCUCGUUCACUGACCAUACUUGGACUAACAAGGGUGAAAGGUACAGCUCAUGGCUAAUCAUUUGAUCUCUAUUAAAAAGAAAAAGAAAAGGCUGUUUCCUGUUUAUUCCUAAAUAUCCCAAGCUUCCUGCUGUCAGUCUCCAGCUCUUCAGAUUACUUGGACGGCGCAUUCAACCCUGCAGGAACCAAGGUAUGUUCUGUUUUGUUUUACUUAUCGUAUUUAAUAACAUAUUAGAAAGAGCUUAUAAAAGUACAUACAAUUAAAAAAGAUAACUAAAAAAGUUCUGCUUUGCAUCCAUGGCUCUUGACUGCCAAAGAAACAAAACUAGUUCACGAGAGGGGUCAGACUACUGACCUGUCAUUUAAAAUGCCUUGUGAAUUAAAUCAUCACUCUCCCUCUCA